GCAGCAGUAGGGAAUAUUGGUCAAUGGGUGAGAGCCUGAACCAGCCAUGCCGCGUGCAGGAAGACGGCCUUCUGGGUUGUAAACUGCUUUUAUCUGGGGAUAAAAAGCCCAUGCGUGGGACAUUGAAGGUACCAGAUGAAUAAGCACCGGCUAAUUACGUGCCAGCAGCCGCGGUAAUACGUAGGGUGCAAGCGUUGUCCGGAUUUAUUGGGUUUAAAGGGUGCGUAGGCGGUCUAUUAAGUCAGUGGUGAAAUCCAACAGCUCAACUGUUGAUGUGCCAAUGAUACUGAUGGACUUGAGUACAGACGAGGUAGGCGGAAUUGACAGUGUAGCGGUGAAAUGCAUAGAUAUUGUCAAGAACACCGAUAGCGAAGGCAGCUUGCUAGCCUGUAACUGACGSUGAGGCACGAAAGUAUGGGGAUCAAACAGGAUUAGAUACCCUGGUAGUCCAUACAGUAAACGAUGAUUACUCGAUGUUGGCGAUACACAGUCAGCGUCUUAGCGAAAGCGAUAAGUAAUCC
rnacentral:rRNA from 1 species